AUUGAACGCUGGCGGCAGGCCUAACACAUGCAAGUCGAGCGGAUGAAGGGAGCUUGCUCCUGGAUUCAGCGGCGGACGGGCGAGUAAUGCCUAGGAAUCUGCCUGGUAGUGGGGGAUAACGUCCGGAAACGGGCGCUAAUACCGCAUACGUCCUGAGGGAGAAAGUGGGGGAUCUUCGGACCUCCCGCUAUCAGAUGAGCCUAGGUCGGAUUAGCUAGUUGGUGGGGUAAAGGCCUACCAAGGCGACGAUCCGUAACUGGUCUGAGAGGAUGAUCAGUCACACUGGAACUGAGACACGGUCCAGACUCCUACGGGAGGCAGCAGUGGGGAAUAUUGGACAAUGGGCGAAAGCCUGAUCCAGCCAUGCCGCGUGUGUGAAGAAGGUCUUCGGAUUGUAAAGCACUUUAAGUUGGGAGGAAGGGCAGUAAGUUAAUACCUUGCUGUUUUGACGUUACCAACAGAAUAAGCACCGGCUAACUUCGUG
rnacentral:rRNA from 1 species